AAGCCGUUGGUAUCAGAGACGAACUGCAGCUCAAUGUGUCCAAUGAAACUGUGUGAAGACAGCUGCAUGAGACAGGAAUCCACCAUAGGGUUCCUGCAAGCAAGGAGCACCUGACCGAUCAACCAAUACCGUGCUGCGAGGCUCACCAGUAUAUUGUAUUUGUGAGGGUUAGACUUUUGAUCAAGAGUGAUCUUCUCUGAUGAGAAGACCUUCGCUUCGACCAAUCAUGGCCAGAUACAUUUGUGGAGGCGGCAUAACACGAGAUAAGACCAUCGCCACAUCUCUGUGGAAGCACGCAGCAGACACAUUACCUGCAGCAGACACGUUACCUGCAGCAGACACGUUACCUGCAGCAGACACGUUACCUGCAGCAGACACAUUACCUGCAGCAGACACAUUACCUGCAAUACCUGUGGGUGGCUCUCCAUCCACGGUGAGGGUGAUGUGACAAAUUGAGGAAGGUUCACUGCCCAGGAAUAUAUAGACAUCCUACAAAAUAUUUUCCUUCCUUCCUUGCAAGAAAGAAACUUCCCAUUCCCACUGUCAUGAUCGUAAUGAUGGCUAACCUUUUAAAACCUAAUAAUUCAUAUUAUGCUCCACGUCCACAAAACCUGUAAACCUUCUGAGUCUCCCAGUGGAAACAUCCUCCGUUUUCUCUGUAUCAUUGACGUCGUCAUAGAGAUGCCGUAUUUGUGACCGAGACUUGUAAGCUCUUGUUUACUUAUGAAAACCAGAGACUCUGAUACUCAGUGAAAUUGUUGUAAAGAUGUUAAUUAUGGAAAUGGUUAAUUAACCUGAAGGGAACAAUCAGACCAGCUUUCUUUGUAGACGUAGUCAGGACGCUACUUGGCUAGACUCCGCCCACCGGAAUUGCCAUCCAGAACCUUUGAAAUCAAUUUAAUUCUUGCCUUCGAUAGCUCAGUCAGAGCAUAGUUUGUAAAGAUAAUAUUGGGGAAUGAAACUGAGUUCGUAGUCUCAGUUUCAAACGUCAAAGUAUACAGUAACGUAGUUCAUUGAAAUGUCUGAGUGAGUGGAAUUCGUAACUUAGCGAGGGCGAGAGGGACCCAGGUGUUUCAACCGUUAGUCAACGUUUGAAAUCCCUCCAACCCACAGGUCUCUGUAGGCUACCCGCUCCUGAUAGAUUGAGUAAAUCCUCUACACUCGUUUCGGAGAUGGAUGAAGGCCAGUAAACACGGGUAACUCCGUGAAUCCCGGGCGUCAGGAAAUCACCACCCUCCUAGGGCCCAGAGCACUAGUCAGCUCACCUGACGCGUCACUGCCCACGUGGUGACCUAAGAACAUCAGGCCAAGCAAACAACUGCCAGCCCCCAUCAUUACUGGAUGAGUCCAUGACUCAGUAGGGCUAUUUGGUGUCUGUGUUAUUCCUCCGAGGACAACUGUAGGUGUCCACCCGAGUUGUAGGAGUGUGUUCCAAGGUACCUCGUGGUGGGAGAAAACUACCAUGGUUGGUGCUGUCUGGUGCUGUUUGUACAGUCACAUGUGGUAACUGGCGUCAUUGCCACGGGUACUAAUGGUGCUAUAAGGUGCAGAGAGAGAGUUUAUGUGUGUCCUUGUACUUACACCCAGUCAUGGUGUAAGUGGAAACUGUACCUAAUGCCACAGUACAAAAUACGUUCAACGAGGUAGUCGAGUGUAGUAGAAUUGUUCAAGAAAUCUAACGUCAUUUUA
rnacentral:lncRNA from 1 species